UGGGGAAUAUUGGGCAAUGGGCGAAAGCCUGACCCAGCAAUACCGCGUGAAUGAUGAAGGCCUUAGGGUUGUAAAGUUCUUUUAGUAGGGAAGAUAAUGACGGUACCUACAGAAAAAGCCCCGGCUAACUCCGUGCCAGCAGCCGCGGUAAGACGGAGGGGGCUAGCGUUGUUCGGAAUUACUGGGCGUAAAGCGCGCGUAGGCGGUAUAAUAAGUUGAAAGUGAAAGCCCGGGGCUCAACCUCGGAAUUGCUUCCAAAACUGUUAUUCUAGAGUGUAGUAGGGGAUGAUGGAAUUCCUAGUGUAGUAGUGAAAUACGCAGAUAUUAGGAGGAACACCGGUGGCGAAAGCGAUCAUCUAGGCUACAACUGACGCUGAGGCGCGAAAGCAUGGGGAGCAAA
rnacentral:rRNA from 1 species